GUCACCUUCCUGGGAGCAAAACUUACGUCUACUCAAGUCUCCCCCCAAAAGGUGUCUCUCAGGUUAGAUAAACUGAACACCCUCAAUGACUUACAAAAACUCAUGGGAGACAUAAAUUGGGUUCGCCCAUAUCUGAAGUUACCCAAUGCCGAAUUAAGACCCUUGUUUGACUUGCUUAAA